GAAGAGGCAGUCCAGCAUAUAAUACGUGGGCCAUGAUUUUGCUAUGCAGAUCUGAAGCAGCACCUUGUGUAACACAAGAUUCUUAAGUGCCAUUUGUUAAUGUCUGGUUUCUAUUGCUGGCUCGUGACAAAGUGACAGUGAGAAGUCGAGUAUCCUAGGCAUGUGAAAAUUAGGCAUCUUCAAGUACUAUCGGUAACUGCUGACGAGUUUCUUGUUUCCGGAACGCAGUGAUAAUGUGAAAAUUAAAACUACGAGAGCAAUCGGGAGGGAAGUGGAGGGAGAGUGCAAGUCCCAGUAAACAGUUGAUCUCCAAGCUUAUCCAAGUGCUCCUUAAUUUCACAUGGGGUAAGGUACCUUGCGAUAGCAGCUGGGUCCCAGGUGGAAGGGACUGCGUCGACGAUGUGCGACGAGAGGGCGAGCGGCUGCGAAUCGAGGCGGAGGUUGAAGAGGGAGAUGAAGUAGCCAUCCAAGGCCAAGCACUUGGUCUUUGCAGCAUCUUGAGCCCAUGAGCUCCCAUCAAAGAGGAACAUGGAGUUAAAUAAACCUGAUGGUAUCUUUCCACUCAAUGAGCUCCUUUGGUUGAACAACUCAGACAUCUGCAUGGUGAUUAAUAAGAAUGUAGUACUACUAUUAAUUUACCUUACUUGAUGUGUCCAUUAAUUAACACAAUGUUACUCAAAAAAAAAUGUUAAUCACAUUAGGUAAACCAGGUGAAGUACUAGUUGAGAAUGAUAUGUAAUGAUCAACCACUCCCAUCUAUAUAUAUAUAUAUAUAGUACAUUUAGGUGGCCUAUUUAUUACCAUCUGUUUACUGCAAUUCUAUAUGCUUAUAUUGGUCAAGGUGCAGUUACCAUAAA